AAAUUGAAGAGUUUGAUCAUGGCUCAGAUUGAACGCUGGCGGCAGGCCUAACACAUGCAAGUCGAACGGUAACAGAAAGCAGCUUGCUGCUUUGCUGACGAGUGGCGGACGGGUGAGUAAUGUCUGGGAAACUGCCUGAUGGAGGGGGAUAACUACUGGAAACGGUAGCUAAUACCGCAUAACGUCGCAAGACCAAAGAGGGGGACCUUCGGGCCUCUUGCCAUCGGAUGUGCCCAGAUGGGAUUAGCUAGUAGGUGGGGUAACGGCUCACCUAGGCGACGAUCCCUAGCUGGUCUGAGAGGAUGACCAGCCACACUGGAACUGAGACACGGUCCAGACUCCUACGGGAGGCAGCAGUGGGGAAUAUUGCACAAUGGGCGCAAGCCUGAUGCAGCCAUGCCGCGUGUAUGAAGAAGGCCUUCGGGUUGUAAAGUACUUUCAGCGGGGAGGAA
rnacentral:rRNA from 1 species